rnacentral:rRNA from 1 species
GACGAACGCUGGCGGCGUGCCUAAUACAUGCAAGUCGAACGCAGUGGGGACGGGUGAGUAACACGUGGGUAACCUCCCAUCAGAGGGGAUAACACUUGGAAACAGGUGCUAAACCGAUACUGAUUGAUGUACCCGCGGUGCAUUAGCUAGUUGGUGAGGUAACGGCUCACCCAGGCCAUGAUGCAUAGCCUACCUGAGAGGGUGAUCAGGCACACUGGGACGGAGAGACGGCCCGGACUACUACGGGAGGGAGCAGUAGGGAAGCUAAUGCAAGUGAAGAAAGUCUAACCGGACAAAGCCGCGUGAGUUAAGAAGGGUGUGGGAUCGUAAAACUCUGUUGUUAGAGAAGCGGUAUCUAACCAGAAAGCCACGGCUAACUACGUGCCAGCAGCCGCGGUAAUUC